CUUCCGGGUGUAGUUAAAGCAACUCCACCACUGCUGGUUGAGAAUUACAAAGAUGCGAGGUUGGUUUUGCAAAUGUUUUGAAUUUAACAAGAAUUUAAAUACCGUCUGCCUUAGAAUCUUUGAUUUGCUGACUGUUAAUCUGCCUUUCAGCUCUCCGUUUAGGCAGUGGAUGGCAACCUCUGCUGCAAAUUAGAAAUGCCUCAGGUGUUUUCUAAACAAUUUUUGCAGUAGCCUUCACUCCCUGAGAUUCUGAUUUUGGUGGAUCUGGGAUGGGAUGUGGACAAGAGAAUUUUUAAAAGCUCCCUGGUUGAGAAGGCUAAGAAUCACCGAUUUGGGACCACACAGAGGAGAUGCAUCCACAGAAUGUGGCAACUCUACUAAUGAAACUGCUGGUCAAGAUCUCUGGAAAUGGAAGUCUAAUAAUCCUUGUUUUGACAAGAAAGAUCAGGCCUCUACUCACAUAAGACAUGGAGCUGGAUCACAGUGCUUUUGCUCAACCGCUGACCCUGAACCUCUACAGAGGCCUCACAGGAGAAAUUUCGGCCAUCAUCUUCCUCCCUGGUGAUGUUCUUACUUCAAAUCACUGCUCCCAGGAAUAAGUUCAAACAUCCCAGGAGUUCCUGUUGUGCCUCAGCAGUAAUGAACCCAACUAGUAUCCAAGAGGAUUCAGGUUCACUCGCUCAGCGGGUUAAGCAUCCAGCAUUGCUGUGAGUUGUGUAGAUUGCAGAUGCUGCACCUCCGGCAGCUGUACCUCCAAUUCGAUCUCUAGCCUGGGAACUUCCAUAUGCUGCAGUUGUGGCUCUAAAUAAAUAAAUAAAUAAAUAAAAUCCGAAUCACUCUGUAAACAGCAUGGCUUAAGGAAAGAGGGUGAAGCCUGGACAGAACCUACCACCUCAGUGCACCCAGCACCUACCAGAGAAGAUGAAGACUAGUGUUCACUUUGGAGUGUACCUAGCAAAGAGUAGUAUGUGCAUUUGCAGUGGAAUCACCAAGCCUUUAUCAUGGACGUUUUCAAUAGCGGAGAAACCUCGUGAGAAGAGGCAGGUCACUUACUAUAGACAUGCACUGGCUCUCUUGUUUUCUGCUCCACUGGACCCAGAGAUACAAGGCAAGACACCUCCUGAUCACCGGUCUCCGUGGCCCGAACGGUGGCAUUGGCCCAUACUGUGUCUCCCUCCCAGGAGAGGAAGGGGUCCAGCUGCUGGUCGCCCAGGAACAUGUGGACCACCACCUCUUCGGCUGGGAACACCCUAGCCACCUCACAGCUCACAGUCUCUGCCAUCCCAACCUCCAAAAGUGAAGACACCCAGAUUUGGGGGCUCUGAGAGAAUUCUGCCAAGAAAUGAGGAAAAGGAAAGAAAGGGGGAAACCAUGAUAAAUCACGUGUUACAGGGACCCCACAAGGUAGGGAGUAGGGCUAAAAGCUCUCUGUCCCCACAGUGAGUUUAAAACUCAAGAAAAGGCGGAGCUCAAUUAUCUUUAUGCCCCAUCCUAAAUCCUAGGGGAGGUGAGUCCCAAAGGCCAAGGUAACAUGAGGAAAAUGAACCCCAAGAUUCCUUCCACACCUGGGCUCUGACUCACCAAAGAUUCGGAGUACCUUGAUUGCUGAGCUAUUGCGAAAAAGCCCUCCACCACGUGAACUCAGGUCCAGCUCGGCGCGGCAGGAGAAAUUGCACCUGUCAUCCUCCAUUUGGGCUUUGACAUUGAUGGUGAUCUCAGCUCUUUGAGAGGCCGCAGAUAAGCUCCUAAAGUUCUUUUUAUGUAGUUCUUGGUCAUUCUGGAGAAGUGUAAGGGUGAGGCCCUCCAGAGGUGUGACACUGGGCACAUGGCAUGUCACUAUAAAGGCUUCAUCCACGGCCACCCAUGCAGGCUGCAGCUCCAUGAUUACCUGCUCUGGUGGCUCUUUAAGACAAAAAGGUGGGCUUGAUGGGAGACAGCUACUUAGCUCUCCAGAAAGAAAUGGUAUAGAACGGGAAGCCUGUGAUAGAAGGUGACCCCUACUCUUAAACCUAAUCUGAUGCACAGUGUCAGCUUUCUGCUGCCCCUGUUCUAGAUGGGACAAGUUAGCCUUCUGGCUCUUCUACCUACUGAAGGUGGCUAAAGCCACAGCCAAGAAAUGUGACUGCUGAGGGGAGGUCCCUUGCUUUGACUGCUGCUGCCAUUCUGAAGAGCUUUGCUCUCAUGCCAGAGGGCUUCAGAGGCAUAAGCAGCAUCACUAAGCUAACUAAGCUCUCACCCCACAGAGCUCACACUUACUCUUACAGCUGUAUCUUUGCCAACACCAUUUGCACACCUGAAAGAUGCUCCUCACCCGUUCCCAUCCCUUCAAAUCCUAACCAUUUGCAGGAGUGAAGCUCAAGAGGCUCCUUUGCGUGGAGACCUCUCCGACUAUCCCAGCUGACAAAGACCCUCCUUUCUCUAAUCCCUAUUUAUUCUAAGAAUUUGUGACGGGAAUUCCCAUCGUGGCACAGCAGAGACGAUUCCGACUAGGAACCAUGAGGUUGCGGGUUCGAUCCCUGGCCUUGCUAAGUGGGUUAAGGAUCUGGUGUCGCCGUGAUGUGGUGUAGGUCACAGACUUGGUUCAGAUCUGGCAUGGCAGCUAUAGCUCCGAUUAGACCCCUAGCCUAGGAACCUCCAUGUACUGAGGGUGCAGCCUUAAAAAGCAAAACAAAAACAAACAAACAUAACAAGAAUUCGUGACACUAAUUUUGUACUGAUUUUGUACUAAUUUUGUACUAAUUUUGCACUAAUUUUGAAUUUUUUAGAAUUCGGCACUAAUUUUUUACUUUUUUGAUUAUUUAUAAAUGAGCAUUAUUAGCACACUCCUCCUGUAUUUGAACAUAUUUUCAAGCACAGAUGUCUCAUGCACUUUGCGGUCUGCUCCUAACUUAAAAGCCUACACCAAAGGGAGAGAGAAAUAAUUGGCUCUAGAAUCCCUAUAGUAUGACAGAAAUCUUUUUUUUUUUUUUUUUUUUUGCCUUUUUUUUGUCUUUUGUUGUUGUUGCUAUUUCUUGGGCCGCUCCCGCGGCAUAUGGAGAUUCCCAGGCUAGGGGUCCAAUCGGAGCUGCAGCCACCGGCCUAAGCCAGAGCCACAGCAACUCGGGAUCCGAGCCGUGUCUGCAACCUACACCACAGCUCACGGCAACGCCGGAUCGUUAACCCACUGAGCAAGGGCAGGGACCGAACCCGCAACCUCAUGGUUCCUAGUCGGAUUCGUUAACCACUGCGCCACGACGGGAACUCCAGAAAUCUUUUUUAAGAGCUCUACUUCUCUUCCCUACAAGAAAUCUCUUUCUCUUUUUUUUUUUCCUCCCCUUUCUUUCCUUCUUUUUUUAAAGGCCACCCCUGAGGCAUAUGGAAGUUCCCAGGCUAGGGGUUGAACCGGAGUUACAGCUGCCAGCCUACACCACAGCCACGGCAACACAGAUCCAAGCCGCAUCUGCAACCUACACCACAGCUCAUGGCAAUGCCAGAUCCUUAACCCACUCAGUGAGGCCAGGGUCGAACCCACAACCUCUUGGUUCCUAGUUGGAUUCGUUUUUGCUGUGCCACGAGGGGAACUCCUCCCAGAAAUCUCUAAUUAUUCCCUAUAUAAGGCAUAGUCAUGUUCCCCCACUCUUCCCUUCCUCCCCAGCCCUCAGCCCAACUCACGAUACACAGUGAUGCCAAGGCUUAUGUCCUUUUGGAUUCCUGUGCAAGAGAAGAAGCACUGCACGAUGGAAUUCUGUGUGACAUCUUCCAGGAGAAACUCCUUCCACUGAGGCCCUUUGCCCACCUGGGUUCUCUUCAAUAAGGUCUCAAUUCCACCGGGUCCUGGAUCUGGGCAAGUGGUGCUACAGUUGACCAUCAGGGACUGUCCAUACUUUACAAAGGCCUGAUCUGGCCAAACAGAAACCUCAAAUAGCUCUUCUGCGGCCUCUGAAAUGAUCAACCACAGAUGCCGAAACUCUGGUGAGGACCACAAGACCCAAAGAAAUUACAGAGCCUAUUCCAUCUAGUUACAGGUUAGAGAAGAGGAAACCUACUCUGAAUAAAAGGGUACAGGGGACUAAACAAGAAAAAACCCUUAAUAAACAAGUUAGAACCCUAAUUCUACCGCCAUUCCCUCCUCUCAUCAUCUUUCUUGGGAUCUCUGGUUUUC